GAUGAACGCUGGCGGCGUGCCUAAUACAUGCAAGUCGAGCGAACAGACGAGGAGCUUGCUCCUCUGACGUUAGCGGCGGACGGGUGAGUAACACGUGGAUAACCUACCUAUAAGACUGGGAUAACUUCGGGAAACCGGAGCUAAUACCGGAUAACAUGUUGAACCGCAUGGUUCAACAGUGAAAGACGGUUUUGCUGUCACUUAUAGAUGGAUCCGCGUCGCAUUAGCUAGUUGGUAAGGUAACGGCUUACCAAGGCAACGAUGCGUAGCCGACCUGAGAGGGUGAUCGGCCACGCUGGAACUGAGACACGGUCCAGACUCCUACGGGAGGCAGCAGUAGGGAAUCUUCCGCAAUGGGCGAAAGCCUGACGGAGCAACGCCGCGUGAGUGAAGAAGGUCUUCGGAUCGUAAAACUCUGUUAUUAGGGAAGAACAAAUGUGUAAGUAACUAUGCACGUCUUGACGGUACCUAAUCAGAAAGCCACGGCUAACUACGUG
rnacentral:rRNA from 1 species